CUCAAAUGAAUUGACGGGGGCCCGCACAAGCGGUGGAGCAUGUGGUUUAAUUCGAUGCAACGCGAAGAACCUUACCUGGUCUUGACAUCCACAGAACUUUCCAGAGAUGGAUUGGUGCCUUCGGGAACUGUGAGACAGGUGCUGCAUGGCUGUCGUCAGCUCGUGUUGUGAAAUGUUGGGUUAGUCCCGCAACGAGCGCAACCCUUAUCCUUUGUUGCCAGCGGUUCGGCCGGGAACUCAAAGGAGACUGCCAGUGAUAAACUGGAGGAAGGUGGGGAUGACGUCAAGUCAUCAUGGCCCUUACGACCAGGGCUACACACGUGCUACAAUGGCAUAUACAAAGAGAAGCGACCUCGCGAGAGCAAGCGGACCUCAUAAAGUAUGUCGUAGUCCGGAUUGGAGUCUGCAACUCGACUCCAUGAAGUCGGAAUCG
rnacentral:rRNA from 1 species